UGGGGAAUCUUAGACAAUGGGGGAAACCCUGAUCUAGCCAUGCCGCGUGAGCGAUGAAGGCCUUAGGGUUGUAAAGCUCUUUCAGCUGGGAAGAUAAUGACGGUACCAGCAGAAGAAGCCCCGGCUAACUCCGUGCCAGCAGCCGCGGUAAUACGGAGGGGGCUAGCGUUGUUCGGAAUUACUGGGCGUAAAGCGCACGUAGGCGGAUUAGUCAGUCAGAGGUGAAAUCCCAGGGCUCAACCCUGGAACUGCCUUUGAUACUGCUAGUCUUGAGGUCGAGAGAGGUGAGUGGAAUUCCGAGUGUAGAGGUGAAAUUCGUAGAUAUUCGGAGGAACACCAGUGGCGAAGGCGGCUCACUGGCUCGAUACUGACGCUGAGGUGCGAAAAGCGUGGGGAGCAAAACAGGAUUAGAUACCCUGGUAGUCCACGCCGUAAAACGAUGAAUGCCAGUCGUCGGGUUGCAUGCAAUUCGGUGACACACCUAACGGAUUAAAGCAUUCCGCCUGGGGAGUACGGUCGCAAAGAUUAAAAACUCAAAGGAAUUGACGGGGUCAUAGCUGUUUCCUG
rnacentral:rRNA from 1 species